AGUGGGAUAACUGGGUCAAAUGGUUGUUCCUUUCCAAAUUUUCUGAGGAAUUUCCAUACUGCUUUCCAGAUUGGUUACACCAAUUGUAGUCCCACUGGCAAU
rnacentral:pre_miRNA from 1 species